rnacentral:rRNA from 1 species
AUUGAGCGCUGGUGGCAGGCUUAACACAUGCAAGUCGAGCGGGGUGAUGGUGCUUGCACUAUCACUUAGCGGCGGACGGGUGAGUAAUGUCUGGGAAACUGCCUGAUGGAGGGGGAUAACUACUGGAAACGGUAGCUAAUACCGCAUAACCUCGCAAGAGCAAAGAGGGGGACCUUCGGGCCUCUCGCCAUCAGAUGUGCCCAGAUGGGAUUAGCUAGUAGGUGAGGUAAUGGCUCACCUAGGCGACGAUCCCUAGCUGGUCUGAGAGGAUGACCAGCCACACCGGAACUGAGACACGGUCCAGACUCCUACGGGAGGCAGCAGUGGGGAAUAUUGCACAAUGGGCGCAAGCCUGAUGCAGCCAUGCCGCGUGUGUGAAGAAGGCCUUCGGGUUGUAAAGCACUUUCAGCGGGGAGGAAGGCGGUAAGGUUAAUAACCUUAUCGAUUGACGUUACCCGCAGAAGAAGCACCGGCUAACUCCGUGCCAGCAGCCGCGGUAA